rnacentral:pre_miRNA from 1 species
AAAGUACUCUCUCCGUCCCAAAAUUCUUGUCUUAGAUUUGUCUAGAUACAGAUGUAUCAAGUCACAUUUUAGUAUUAGAUACAUCCGUAUCUAGACAAAUCUAAGACAAGAAAUUUGGGACAGANAAGU